CUUGAAGUUGUAAUAAAUACCAAAGUCUUUGGGACCGUGCAUUUAGUCUAAAUUACGUUAGGAAGCGCCUUUAGAUGUGCACAUUGCUAGCUAGUACAUACAGUGGCGGAUCUAGAAAUUUCGGACAGAGGGGUCACCUUUCGAGCAUAAACUUAAUAAAAAUACUCACAAUCCAAUAUAAAGAGAACAUGCGUUCAAGAAAAUAUAAUGAGAGUAAAAAAUGAAUGUACUGCAGUACUAGUGUCUCUGCAUUUUCACUAGAUCAUUUAUUACAUUUUUGUUUGUGUAAUUGGUAGAAUUGUAUGGGUUGGCUUUGUGUUACUACAACUAUGUAACUCUAGGAUGAACAUGGUUCAACUCUUGUUAGUUGGAAGUUUUGAAGAAUUUUUUCCCCAAAUGCGUAAGCCAGUUAGAAAAAAUACUUGAAGGCCGGUGGUCGCAAGUUUCGAACUCGCGACCACUCAGUAGAAAACCGAAGACCUUACCACUUGAACAAGACGUCAAUCAUUCUCUAUUUUUGGGUAGUUUAAUAUAUAUUACUUCCGGUUUCAAUUCACACAAAAAAAAAAUCCCGAUAAUUUCAGGAGGGUCAGGGUCACGUGACCCUCCUGUGCCUACAUUGGAUCCACCCCUGAGUACAUAUCCAUACGUCAAAACUGUAAUGUCUAAUAGAAUUUUUAAGAAAAAAAAAUCCCAGAUAUUGUAUGUCCCAUUGAUGGAAAUUGUUCUAGUAUUUCCUUUUAGUUAAGCUGACAAGGGAAAAGAGGUCAUUUUUUAGUUCUUGUGCUUGUUGAUUUGGUUUGUAUCUUUUUGAAUUUUAGUUCUUGAAAAUUGAAGGGCCCUAUUAGCGAAUUUUCUUAGGCCCCUAAAUCUAGGGGUCGACCUUGCCUAAACAUACAUCUAUAUACAUGACUAGCUGUCUGUGUGCAUGCAUACAGCAUAUUUGCCACAACACAAGUCCAAUCACCUCAUCUCCUGAUCUUCUAGGUUAGCUCUUUCUUUGUAUUUGUUUUGAUGUAUGUGUUGUUUCAGCAGGUGUGAGCUCUCUCUUUUUGUAUUUAAGCUUUGAUGUGGUUUGAUUUGAUUGGGGUUUUGGAGCUCAUUUUCUGGUGUUCUUCAAACUGUAAUUAUCUGUUGAAAUCACAAAAUCUCAACGGGGCGAAAGAAGCCUAUAGCACGUGAAGACAAUAAUCAGGGUGGUGGGGGAAAAUUGAGGAAGAGGUUGGUGGUAAUUGAUGAGGAUGAAUACACGAUAGGGACAGAAUUGUCAGAGGAACAGCAGGUUCAAGAUGAGAAAGUGGGGCCAGUUAGUGCAAAGAAGAAGGGGAAGAAGGUAGCUUCUAAGAAUUCACAUGAGAAAGAUGAGGGUGCAGAAGAAGAAGAAAAAGAAGAGGGGGACAAUGUACCAGCAAUAACAUUUGUGGGGAAAGAACCGAAAGGCAAGAAAGAAGCACAAAAUUCAGAUGCUCACCCUGACCAGAGUGAAGCUACCAUGCGAUCCCCAAUUUGCUGCAUCAUGGGCCAUGUUGAUACUGGAAAAACCAAGCUCCUUGAUUGUAUUGGAGGCACUAAUGUUCAGGAAGGUGAAGCUGGAGGGAUUACUCAACAAAUUGGUGCACAUAUUUUCCAUCUGAGAACAUACGGGAGAGAACAAAGGAACUGAAAGCUGAUGCAAAGCUGAACGUCCCAGGUCUUUUAGUUAUUGAUACUCCUGGACACAAAGCGUUCACUAAUUUAGGUCUAGGGGUUCAGGUUUAUGUGACAUUGCAAUUAUGGUCAUCGACAUAAUGCAUGGCCUGUAAACAUAGACUAUUGGAUCACUCAAUCUUCUGAAAAUGAGGAAUACAGAAUUUAUUGUCGCAUUGAAUAAGGUGGACUGACUAUAUGGGUGGAAAGCUUGCUGGAAUGCACCAAUUGUUAGGACAAUGAAGCAGCAAUCCAAGGAUGUCCAACUUGAAUUUAAAAGGAGGCUAACUGAGGUUAUCACUCAGUUCAAGGAACAAGGAUUGAACAGUGAAUUGUAUUACAAGAACAAAGAAAUGGGGUAAUUUUUCAGUGUAGUUCCCACAAGUGCAAUCAGUGGGAGGCAUGCAAUGUAAAGAAACAGAGCAGCUUUUUGGCUGGGAAGGAUCCCGUUU